CUAACUUUACGUGCAUCCCGUCAUGUUUCUUGUAUAUGUGCAAUGCGUGGAGAAAAGUGUGUGAUUAAAGUUAGUCGUAAAACCCCGAUGAUAUUUUCCGAUGAACAUCCGGCGAAUCACUCCCGCUUUCUCUUUCUAUUCGAAGGUAGUCGUAAACUCGUAAAACAGUGAUGAUAUUCUCCGAUUUGAACAUCCGGCGAAUCACUCCCACUUUCUCUCUCCAAGUCUCCUGGUAAUCUGGUCCAUGAAUCGCUAAUCUGCUACUACCCUGGCAGAGUUGAAGAGAUUCAAUGUCAAGGCACAUAAUUUGCGGCUUUAUUUGGUGUAUCGUGAAUAAUUAUGAACAAGGAGAAGCAGGGUCGAUGUUGCAAGGAGAAGAUUGAUGCAUUGAUCACGUUAGAGUGUAGAGGGAAGCUGAUCUUCCAUCUUCUAAUGCUCCUGCAACUGUAAGGCGUAACUUGUAAGCAUAUCAUGGCUCUUUUUAACGUCAGAAAAAGUAAGUGCGUAGUUUGAUUCAAUCUGUAUUCACUGGACUUAAGGAAGAAAAUUGUUUCACAUCUAAUCUAAUCAUGGUAUGGUCUAAAAUAUAUUUCUGAAAGAAUUUUUUAUAGUUUUAAGAUUCGGACAGGGUGAAGCUAGAAAAGUCUUCUUCAUGGAAAUUUCCUAGUAGAAACUUUAAGGACAGGGCAUUAUUGUUUCAAUAUUGAUUAAAUUUGACUUUUCAGUCAUUUGAGAGACAAAAUUAAAAUUGAAGCACGCUUCACGACGAGUAGGGAUCAGAUAUGGAUGGUAGAAAAAUGAUAGUAAAUGAAUGAAGGGGGAAAUAGGAGAUUUUUUUUUUUUACUAGCCUAGGAGUUAUCAUCAUAAGAUGUAAAAUGGAUUGAAAAGAAAUGUAGAGGAUCUAAAUUUUUCUUGAACACGUUAUAGUUAAAUUGCCAAGGAAAGAUUGUUCCCAAUAAACCAUCAACAUUUAACAAAAUCUAUCUUCCUCAUUUCAUAUAACUUUUAAAAACGUGAUCCUUGUAUUAAAGGUGCUGAGCCCAAGUGUUGGGGUUUAUGCAUGGUAUAAUUGGUUUUACAUUGCAAGCUACAACCAAGGUUUUUUUUAGCUCAAUUAUUCAUAUGAGCAUAAAUUUAUAGCAUUUUUUCUUGUAUAAUAAAAACAGAAAGGUUAUUUAGCAAAUAAAGUACAAUCAACACUUUGAUUAAGAACAUUGUCUGGGAUCAAAGCCUAUCAGUCGGUGUGUAUAUGAGGAAUAUGUUUAAUAAAGGGCCAGUAUUCUCCAUCCGGACUCUUACACCUUUCCGAAAGUAUGGGGCAUUCAUAAAUAUAUAGUUCCUUCAAGUUGGGGAGGUUACUUAUUUGUUGUGGCAGUGAUUCCAAUCUUGGGCAUUCUGUUAAUCUAAGUUCUAUGAGGGAAGUGAGGCUGUCGAUCCAUUCUGGUAUCGCCUUAAGCUGUCCCCAACUGUUGAUAUCCAGCGUUUUCAGGGUAGAUAAAUCCCGAAUACUCUCCGGAAGAACUUCUAACUUGACACCAUCUGAAAAAUACAAAUAGUUGAGGUUGGGAAAGCACUUGUUUAGGAGGAUAUUUGCUGGUCGUUCACCAAUCACCUUAUUCUCAAUAUAGAGUUUUUCAACAGAUGUUAAGCCCCCAAAGCACUGCGCUAUCGUUAUUGCGAACUCCACUUUGUCCGCUGCUAGACUUUUUAAUUUCGGAAAUGCAGGCUUCUGAUUCUGAUUCUGAUGUUGUUGAAGCAGGUAAAGCUCUCUUGAAUCUUGCUCACCGCUUGACCACCACCCCACCAAUAUCGGCAUUCUGAAAAUUGAGAGUAUUUCAAGAGAUGUGAAACUGUGUAUCAGUUGCCUUACAAUUGUAAUUGCCAACUUCAAGUAGUACACUAUUAGCAUAAACAAUGCAAGAAACCCAGGCUUCCGAUUAGCCGGAUGAUGAUUCUGAUGUUGUUGAACCUGAAGAAGCUCUGUCGAAUGUUGGUCUCCACUGGAAGAAGACAUCCUCCACCAUCCUUUCAAUUUCGGCAUCCCGGAAACAUCAAGUCUUUCAAGGCUGGGGAAUAAGGUCUCAGAUAAGGGAGCCUUCCAAAGGAGCAGAGGUAUCUGCAGGAUUUACAGUUACUGAUACAAAUGUGAACCAAAUUAUGAAGGUGACUCUCUAGCUGACCAUCCAUCAUCCAGUCUGUUUACUGCAGUAAUCUCUGACGAUAUUAUAUCCUUUGACUCCCGACGCAUAUCAACAGACAACUCUCCACUUAGAUUGUUGAGCCGAUUCAGAAGGUGUCUGAGAUUCACCAACUUGCUCAUGUCCCUUGGCAACUCCUCAAGGUCAGCACAAUAAUGCAAAUACAGGGAUUGUAAGUUUACUAGUUUUGUGAUUGAAUUUGGGAGUUUUACUAUAUCAGUAAAAGACAAGUCUAGAAACCGUAAACAGGUCAAGUCACCUAUAGAUGUUGGCAAUUCCUUUAUGCCCACCCUAUACAGGUCCAAUACCCUUAAACUUUGAAACUUGGAUAUUAAUUUAUCGCACAUGAAUAAAUUACUCACCUUUAUCUUACGAGUAUAAUAACAGUUGCCUCUGAUGAAUGAUCGUAGGUGUUUGCUUUUGAAUACCGAGGAAGGCACUUCCCAGUACGAGCUGUUUGCCACGUUAUACAUAGCCAGGUCUGCUUUAUCAGCCUGUUCCUCCAAGAAAUCAUCCAACUCAGUUAGUGUAGUCCUGAGCUUGUCGAGCACAUCUUGUUGAGCGUUGCUGCACGAGUCCAAGGAAGAUGCAUCAAGAAGUGUAGCUUCAAUGGUGGUCUUGAGCUCUUGAAGGCUUUUAAUGUGGGAAUCCAGGUCUUUGGCAUACACGACUUUUUUGUAUGCUUCGGAACCCAGUUUCUCCAGAAUAGGUGAAACAAGUUGAGCGAUUAUGGCUUCAGCCAUUUCACUCUUUCUUUUUUGGGUGAGGGAUUUUGUUAUGGAAGCUCAAAGAAAAGAGACGCAGAGGAAUUUGUUUGUAAAAUGUGCCAUCUGUGAGCUUUGCUGAAUUGAUAUUUACUAAUGGGUGGUUUCAUACUAAUUAAUGUGUUGAAGAUUAAUUAAUAUUUAACCUAUGUCAUAGUUGUUGAAUUAUUCUUUGCACAAUUAAUCUAUUUUUUAGUUCUGAUAGUUAUCCUUCAGGGUUAGCAUAGCAUAGGCAUAGCAUAGGCAUAGCAUUGAAGUACGUAGUAGUUCUUAUGUUUA